rnacentral:tRNA from 1 species
GCGGACGUGGCGAAAUCGGUAGACGCAGCAGACUUAAAAUCUGCCGACCCUGGUGUCAUGCGGGUUCAAGUCCCGCCGUCCGCA